rnacentral:lncRNA from 1 species
AUAAUAUUUCCAAUGAUGGAAUUCAAUGUUCUCAAAGUGUCUAAAGUUAAAUUGUUUGAAAGUUCAAUAUUGGAUUUGCACUAUAACACUGGUCAUGAUCAUGACUACUAGUAAUUCUGAUGUUGGCAAAUUGCCCCCUUUUUUUGACGAUUUAAUCCAAAAAAAAUAAUUUUGAGAAAUGAGAUUUUUUUGGCGCACAAAAGGGGACACACGCCCCUAAAGACCCCUAGAUCCGCCAAUUUACAAAUUGGAACACUAUUCUUGUAUGUCAAAUUAAAAUGUUUUUAUUAAUUUAAUGAUCAUCCGUAACGUUUAUUAUUG